UACGGGGGGAGCAAGCGUUGUUCGGAUUUACUGGGCGUAAAGGGCUCGUAGGCGGCCAACUAAGUCGGAUGUGAAAUCCCCAGGCUCAACUUGGGAACUGCAUCCGAUACUGGAUGGCUUGAAUUCGGGAGAGGGAUGCAGAAUUCCAGGUGUAGCGGUGAAAUGCGUAGAUAUCUGGAGGAAUACCGGUGGCGAAGGCGGCAUCCUGGACCGACAUUGACGCUGAGGAGCGAAAGCGUGGGGAGCAAACAGG
rnacentral:rRNA from 1 species